AUACGUAGGGGGCGAGCGUUGUCCGGAAUGAUUGGGCGUAAAGGGCGCGUAGGCGGCGCGGUAAGUCUGGAGUGAAAGUCCUGCUUUCAAGGUGGGAAUUGCUUUGGAUACUGCCGCGCUUGAGUGCAGGAGAGGUUAUCGGAAUUCCCGGUGUAGCGGUGGAAUGCGUAGAGAUCGGGAGGAACACCAGUGGCGAAGGCGGGUAACUGGACUGCAACUGACGCUGAGGCGCGAAAGUGUGGGGAGCAAACAGGAUUAGAUACCCUGGUAGUCCACACUGUAAACGAUGAAUGCUAGGUGUAAGAGGUAUCGACCCCUUUUGUGCCGCAGUCAACACAAUAAGCAUUCCGCCUGGGGAGUACGGCCGCGAGGUUGAAACUCAAAGGAAUUGACGGGG
rnacentral:rRNA from 1 species